rnacentral:rRNA from 1 species
UAGGGUUUGAUUAUGGCUCAGAUUGAACGCUGGCGGCAGGCCUAACACAUGCAAGUCGAGCGGAAACGAUCCUAGCUUGCUAGGAGGCGUCGAGCGGCGGACGGGUGAGUAACGCGUGAGAAUCUACCCAUGAGUGGGGGACAACCCGGGGAAACUCGGGCUAAUACCGCAUACGCCCUACGGGGUAAAGCAGGGGACCUUCGGGCCUUGCGCUGAUGGAUGAGCUCGCGUCGGAUUAGCUUGUUGGUGAGGUAAAGGCUCACCAAGGCGACGAUCCGUAGCUGGUCUGAGAGGAUGAUCAGCCACACCGGGACUGAGACACGGCCCGGACUCCUACGGGAGGCAGCAGUGGGGAAUCUUGGACAAUGGGGGCAACCCUGAUCCAGCCAUGCCGCGUGUGUGAAGAAGGCCUUCGGGUUGUAAAGCACUUUCAGCAGGGAGGAAGGCUUACCCCUAAUACGGGUGAGUACUUGACGUUACCUGCAGAAGAAGCACCGGCUAAUUUCGUGCCAGCCGCCGCGGUAAUACA